GACGAACGCUGGCGGCGUGCUUAACACAUGCAAGUCGAACGGAAAGGCCCUGCUGUUGUGGGGUGCUCGAGUGGCGAACGGGUGAGUAACACGUGAGUAACCUGCCCUUUACUUUGGGAUAACUUCAGGAAACUGGGGCUAAUACCGGAUAGGAGCUCCUGCUGCAUGGUGGGGGUUGGAAAGUUUCGGCGGUUGGGGAUGGACUCGCGGCUUAUCAGCUUGUUGGUGGGGUAGUGGCUUACCAAGGCUUUGACGGGUAGCCGGCCUGAGAGGGUGACCGGCCAAAUUGGGACUGAGAUACGGGCCCAACUCCUAGGGGAGGAAGCAGUGGGGAAUAUUGCACAAUGGGCGGAAGCCUGAUGCAGAAACGCCGCGUGCGGGAUGACGGCCUUCGGGUUGUAGACCGCUUUCGCCUGUGACGAAGCGUGAGUGACGGUAAUGGGUAAAGAAGCACCGGCUAACUACGUG
rnacentral:rRNA from 1 species